ACAACUCUGAGUUUAUAUUAAUGGGCAACUUAACAAAAACAAAAUUCCGAAUUUUCCUAAAAAAACAUUUUCUUCAAGUUGAUUUCACACACAAUCUGCACUGAGUGCGUUUAUCAAUUUCGGUGUCACCCGACUUACUGCCUUCUAGGUUGUCUUAACCUGUUCUUUCAGAACCUUGGUUAAGACAGCCACGAAGGCAGGUGACACCGAAAUUGAUAAACGCACUUCCUAACACACUGUGUGUAUGAAAUCAACUUGAAGAAAAUGUUUUUAAGGAAAAUUCGGAAUUUUGUUUUUGUUAAGUUGCCUUUUUCAUAUAAACUUCGUAGCCGCUGACGGAAUUUGUGUGUCACAGACUUCGUGAUCAUUUCAAGGCUGUCUUGACCAAAGUAUAUAAACACUGAAGGUAACGCAAAUCCGCAAGAACACACGGACCCCUACUUUCGGGUGAAUAUAGUUUUUAUAAUGUUGGACACAAGUCAAAUUCACUUUGUUAGGUUGCAACACAUGCCAAAACUCAAUACUAAAC